rnacentral:rRNA from 1 species
GUGUCAGCAGCCGCGGUAACACGUAGGGUGCGAGCGUUGUCCGGAAUUAUUGGGCGUAAAGAGCUCGUAGGCGGUGUGUCGCGUCGGCCGUGAAAACCUGCAGCUUAACUGUGGGCUUGCGGUCGAUACGGGCAUCACUGGAGUUCGGCAGGGGAGACUGGAAUUCCUGGUGUAGCGGUGAAAUGCGCAGAUAUCAGGAGGAACACCGGUGGCGAAGGCGGGUCUCUGGGCCGAUACUGACGCUGAGGAGCGAAAGCGUGGGGAGCGAACAGGAUUAGAUACCCCCGUAGUCC